rnacentral:rRNA from 1 species
AGUGAACGCUGGCGGUAGGCCUAACACAUGCAAGUCGAACGGCAGCACAGGAUCUCUUGCUCUCUGGGUGGCGAGUGGCUGACGGGUGAGGAAUACAUCGGAAUCUGCCCAGUCGUGGGGGAUAACGUAGGGAAACUUACGCUAAUACCGCAUACUACCUUCGGGUGAAAGAGGGGGAUCUCAAGACCUCUCGCGAUUGGAUGAGCCGAUGUCGGAUUAGCUAGUUGGCGGGGUAAUGGCCCACCAAGGCGCCGAUCCGUAGCUGGUCUGAGAGGAUGAUCAGCCACACUGGAACUGAGACGCGGGCCAGACUCCUACGGGAGGCAGCAGUGGGGAAUAUUGGACAAUGGGCGCAAGCCUGAUCCAGCCAUACCGCGUGGGUGAAGAAGGCCUUCGGGUUGUAAAGCCCUUUUGUUGGGAAAGAAAUCGUUCAGGCUAAUACCCUGGGAGGAUGACGGUACCCAAAGAAUAAGCACCGGCUAACUUCGUG